CCCACAGGUAAAAAAGAUCUUAAAAAAAAUAAUAAACCACAAAACGGCGUCGUUGAGAACGCCUAAACGUUCAGGUUCGUUAGAACACAUGUCCAAUCAGUAACAGCCACCUCUUUCUGAAUAGCCCUGUCAGCGACUGCAAUGGGCCGUAAACCACGCAAAUCCACAGCCGUAUCCCCACCGUUACUCCGCCGCAUCGCAUCUCUUGACGACCGCAUCUCCCGCUACAUCCACACCUUCACAAGUCCCCUCGCCCCUAAACCCCUCCUCCGCUCCCUAGAACACCUCGCCGAUUUCCGUUUAUUCUUCCCUGUAACACUCUCACUCUUCUUUGCCACUCCCUCUCACUCUCCGCUCCGUCCCCACCUCCUCCUCCCUCUCAUCCUCUGUUCCCUCCUCGAUCUCAUCUUCAUAGGCUUCCUCAAGUUCCUAGUUCGUAGACCUCGUCCUUCAUACGCCAUCCACGGCGACUACAACGCGGUUGUUCCCGUUGAUAAAUUCUCCUUUCCGAGCGGUCACUCCUCCAGAGUGUGUUUCAUUGCGUCGAUCUUUUCAUUCUCCCGCGCUCGGAUCGUUGAAGCUGUCGCUGAUCCUAGCCAUCCGCGGCUUGCUUUGCUCAUUCAAAGGUGGAUCGAGGAGGGAGACGAAGCUAUGGCGAUUAAUCUGUUAGUUGCUGCGGUUUGGUCUUGGGCUCUGACGACGGUUGUUUCUAGGGUUGUUCUUGGAAGGCAUUAUGUUCUCGAUGUCGGAUUCGGGGCUUGCAUCGGUGUUCUGGAAGCUUUGUUCACCUUGCAUUUUCUCAAUUUCAGUGUUUUGAUUUGAGGACCAGAACUCGGGGAAGAUGAUUGAAACUGCUAGAGAGAUGAAUGAAUUGUAUUACUUUGAUGAAACUCCUCUUGGAAAUGCAAUGGUUUUGGUUUAAAAAGUGAAACUUUACCUCCUGUUUCGGAUCAAGUUAUGUUAUGGCAUAAAAGAUUAGGCCAUCCUAGUUUCCCUUAUCUUAAGUAUUUAUUUUCAAAAUUUUCCAAAAAAAUAAAUUCCUCACAAUUUCAUUGUGAAGCUUGUCACUUAGCUAAAGAUCAUCAUGUGUCUUAUACUUCAAAAGUUUAUUCUGCUUCGCAACCUUUUUAUUUAAUCCAUUGUGAUGUUUGGGGUCCUUAAAAAAUUAAAACUAUUUCCGAAAAAAAAUUGUUUGUGACAUUUAUUGAUGACCAUACACGUGUGUGUUGGGUUUAUCUCUUAGAAAAAAAUCUGAAGUGGAACAAAUGAUUGAAAACCAAUUUCAAACUAAGAUUGGUAUUCUAAGGUCUGACAAUGACACUGAAUAUUUCAACAAAUAUCUAAGUACAUUCCUAGUAGCUAAGGGGAUAAUUCAUCAAUCCACUUAUUGUGAUACUCCACAACAAAACGGUAUUGCUGAAAGAAAAAAUAGACAUCUUCUCGAAGUUACUAGAGCUAUUAUGUUUUCUAUGAAUGUAUAUCUAAAUAUCUUUGGGGAAAUGCCUUAUUAACUGCUUGUUACCUCAUAAAUAGAAUGUCAUCUCGUGUUUUAAAAUAUGAGACUCCUGUGCAAGUUUUACAAAAUUAUUUUCCCACAUCUCGCAUCAUUGCGGAUCUUCCCUUUAAAGUUUUUGGUUGUCUUUGUUAUGUCUACAUCCCAAAUAUUUUCCGUUUCAAAUUGGAUCGUAAAGCUGAAAAAUGUGUUUUUCUUGGCUACGCUUCAAAUAAAAGGGUUACAAAUGUUUUAACCCAAUAACAAAGAAUUUUUUUGAAAGUAUGGAUGUCAAUUUUGUUGAAAAUUAACAUUUUUUUUUAAUAAAAGUUCUCUUCAGGGGGAGAAUCGUUGUGUUGAUAAAGAAGAUAAUUUUUGGGAAACUUUACCUGUAUUGGAUGAUAUUGUGACUACAAAUCAUCCAGAACCCAGACUGCUUAAUCUUGAAUUGUCGGAUAAUAUAAUGUCUGAAAUGGGGGGAGAAAACUGAUUGAGGAUCAUAAUCCUCAACUUCAAGUGUAUGUCCGAAAAAGGUUUCACAAAGGUAUUACAUAUUCAAUUGUCUCUCUGGAAGAAAUCCAAUCUGAUUUGCCAAGUGAAGGUCCUAUUGAAACUUCACCUUCUAGUUCUUCAUCUGGUAAUCCAUCUUACUCUUCCAAUGAUUUACUAUUUGUCUUUUCCUGGUAUGAAUCUUCCUAUUGCUUUGAGAAAAAAAUUCCUGACCUUAAUAUCCCAAUUGCUGAUAGGAAUGUACUCGAACAUGCACUAAACACCUCAUGUCUAAUUACUUGUCAUAUGACAAGUUAUCACACUCACAAGGCAUAUGUGUCUAGGAUUUCGAAUUUGUUUGUGCCCAUAACUAUUCAAGAAGUAUUAGGUGAUCCGAAUUGGAAAUUAGCAGUGAAAGAAGAAAUGGAUGCUCUAAGGACAAAUAAUACUUGGAGCAUCACUGUUCUACCUCGUAACAAAAGGGCAGUUGGAUGUAAAUGGGUCUUUACAAUGAAAUGCAAGGCUGAUGGAAACGUAGAAAAGUACAAAGCAAGACUAGUAGCAAAAGGUUUUACUCAAACUCAUGGUAUAGACUACCAAGAGACCUUUGCCCCUAUUGCUAAGAUUAAUUCCAUCAGAAUUCUUCUCUCUUGCAGUAAAUUUCAAUUGGACACUACAUCAAUUUGAUGUUAAAAAUGCUUUUUUGAAUGGAGAAUUACAUGAAGUAUAUAUGAGUUUACCUCCUGGAUUUGAAGAAAAUCUUGGACGGGACAAAGUCUGCAAAUUGAAAAAAAUCCUUAUAUGGAUUAAAACAAUCACCAAGGGCCUGGUUUGAAAGAUUUGGAAGUGUUGUUUAGAAACAUGGUUUCACCCAAAGUCAAGCAGAUCACACAUUGUUCUUUAAACAUUCAGAUGAAGGUAAGAUUGCUAUUUUAAUUGUGUAUGUCGAUGACAUUAUCAUGAUAGGAGAUGAUGUUAACGAGAUAGGUGAUCUAAAGAGAAGACUUGAAGCUGAAUUUGAUAUCAAGGACCUUGGAAAAUUAAAGCAUUUUCUCGGGAUGGAGUUUGCAAGGUCUAAGGAGGGAAUCUUUCUCAACCAACGCAAAUAUAUACUUGAUUUACUCACAAAAACAGGGAUGACAGGGUGUAAAGCAGCAGAAACACUAAUGGAUCCCAAUGUAAAACUGAAGGCAGCAUCUAAAGAUGAAGUGGUAAAUAGGGAACGCUACCAACGACUGGCCGGUAGAUUAAUUAUUUGUCUCAUACAAGGCCUGAUGUAGCCUUUGCAGUAAGUGUGGUAAGUCAGUUUAUGGAUGCACCAGGACCUACUCAUUUUGAAGCUAUUUGCAGAACAUUGAGAUAUUUAAAAGGAACUCCAGGGAAGGGAUUGAUGUUAAAAAACAACGGGCAUAUACAAGUGGAAGCUCACACAGAUGCUGAUUGGGCGGGUAAUAUAAAUGAUAGGAGGUCUACUUCAGGCUAUUGUACUUUUGUAGGUGUAAACUUAGUUACAUGGAGAAGUAAAAAACAAAAUGUUGUAGCUAGGAACAGUGCAGAGGCUGGAUUCCGCUCAAUGGCCCAUGGUUUUUGUGAAGUAUUAUGGAUUAAAAAAUUUAUGGAGGAAUUAAAGGUCUCUAGCCCAACACCAAUUAAAGUCUAUUGUGAUAAUAAGACAGCUAUUUCCAUUGCCUAUAAUCUUGUCCUACACGACAGAACGAAACAUGUUGAAGUGGACAAGCACUUCAUCAAAGAAAAAAUGGACAGUGGUGAAAUUUGUAUGUCCUAUGUACCUACCUCAAGUCAAGUAGCAGAUGUUCUCACAAAGAGUCUUCAUAAGAGACAAUUUGAUGAUAUGGUGAGCAAGAUUGCAAUGAAUGAUAUAUUCAUGCCAACUUGAGGGGGAAUGUUGGAAGUUAUUAGAGAGAUAAGUACAGAAUCAACAGAUUUUGUGUUAAACAGCUCAGGAUAGUAUUCAUUGUAAAUAAUAAUCAGUCAUUAGCUAUUAAGAAUUAGUAAUUAGUUGUCUUCUACCAUAUUUAGAAUUAGCAUUUAAAGGGAGAAUAAUGGCUCUGAUUCUCAAGCCAGAAUUAGGAUUAUUGAUUUGUUCUUGUAUUCUAUAAAUACCUUUCAUGUAUUACUUACUGAUAUAUCAAAGAAAUACAGAUUAUUUGUUUCUUUAAAACCAUUUCAUGAACGUAAUUUGUUUAAAUAGUUUUUUUUUUCAAUCCUGCCUAUGUUAUCUUUGUUAUGCUUAGUCGGUCCCAAGCGCAAAUAAAAAGAGAGGGUUGUGUUAGAUAGUCUAAACCAAUGUAAAACUUUGUCGAAUCUCUAUGACUUGGAUUAAAUAUAUAAUAAUGUGGUUAGAGUACAAUGACAAAUGAGCAAGGGACACUGCAUUGCCGUCUGAAUGCAGUGAAAAAUUAGGAAAGGUUCCCAUAUUUUAGUAUGGUUCAAAAAAAUAGUUCAUGAGAGUAGGAUUUGCUUUAGAACAUGAACUAUUGGCAUGUUUACCGGAAAAUCUAUGGAAAUAGUGGAAACUAUGCUUAAGAGGAAGAUCAAUUUCACGUGCCUACCAGUAACUAAGUGAACAGGUGAAAGAAUUAGACAUUUCAAAAUUUGAGAUUUGGUACACAAAGUUAGAUCGAGAAAUAGGGCCGGGAUUAAUGUAGACAAGGAGUGGAAGAAAAAUAUUGUGGAUGUAAAGAGAGUUGGAGAUGAGAUCGUAGUCCUGAAAUUUGUAAUGAAAAAAAACACCUUUAAUGUUAUUAGUGCUUACAUACCUUAGGUUGGGUUAACAGAACACCUUAAAGUAAACUUUUAGAAGAAUUUAGAAGGCUAUACUCCAAAGAGAGAUAUUUUUCCUAGGAGAGGAUCUAAAUUUGACAUGUAGGAAGUGUAGCCAUUGGUUUUAAGGGUAUGCGUGAGGGGUAUGGUCUCGAAGAGAUAAAUGCAGAGGCUAAAUCCAUCAUAGAUUUUUUUGUCGUCUUUUGGUCUUACCAUAAUGCAUGCUUUAGGAUGAUAGAUGCUUCUUCAUGUGAAAUAUUAUUUUUAUUUCCCUUGCUAUAAAUAGAAGGUGAUAGACAAAGCUAACAAUUAAUUCCUACCAUUAAUUCUUAUAAAUACAAAAGGAAAGAGUCAUGAAUAUGUAAAUAAAUGGGAUAUCAAUUCCUGAAUUUCUGUGCAAGAAUUAUUGUCAUAUGGUGGUUGUUAUGAUAUGUCGUAAAGGGUGCAGAUCAGUAGAUGAUAUGGAAUUAAUUCCAUAUCCAUAUUCCACACUUCCCCUCAAGUUAGGUCAUAGGUGUCAAUCAUGCCUAGCUUCAAUCUUAAGCUCUCAAAGUUUGCUCGAAGUAACACCUCGGUCAAAAUGUCCGCAGGUUGAUGAUUUGAAGGUGUGUGCUUACUUUUCAUUAUUCCAUCAUAAAUCUUCUUCUUUAUAAAGUGUCAAUCAAUUUCCACAUGUUUGGUUUUGUUAUAGUGUACAAGAUUUUUUGCAAUACUAAUGGUUGCUUUAUUAUCGCACAAUAGAUUUCAUGGUGUAAUCAGUUUGGACUUUAAGUUCUUCACGCAUCCUUUGUAACCAUAUUCCUUCACAAAUUCCACGAGUCAUGGAUCUGAACCUAGCUUAAGCACUGCUCCUAGCAACCACAAAUUGUUUCUUACUUCUCCAAGUUAUUAUAUUCCCCCAAACGAAUGAGCAAUACUCGCUUGUUGACCUCUGACCUGUCACUGGACCAUACCUAUUCGCAUAUGUAAAUAUUUCUACAUCUUUGCUUCUAUGAGACACAAUCCCCUUCCUAGUAUGCUAAAUUGUUUAUCACUUAUACUUGCAGUUUAAGGUUGUUGUAAAAGAAUGACUUCAUCAUAUGAGAAUAUUUUUCACAAAAUAAUACGCUUACAAAUCAUCUUCGUCAUCUUCAAAACCAUCAUCAGUUAGUAAGAAGCUUUCAAUAUUAUUGUAUAGAAAUUAAUUGUUUUGAUUGUUGACUAAAAUUCAUUGAUACAUCUUAUUCGGUCUGUGAAGGGUCAUCCGAGGUUAGUACAACCUAGAGAUCUUGAAAUAUCCAAGAAGCGAAUACGUUCAGCGACAACUCCAACAUCUACCUAUGUGACAUCUUCAAUAAUCCCUCUGCCAAUCCAAACUACAAUAAUCCCUCUGUCAAUCCAGACAAUACCAACUAUCCAUAUUACUACACCAAAAACAACAAUAACCCCCUUCGCCAGUUUAAACUACAUAACCAUCAUUUUCUUCAGAGACAUUUCCUCAUCAUGACAUUUCACCCCCUCACUCUAAAGAUGUUGUAGUAGAAAACGAGACCAAAGUUGUUCAUGUGGCUACUUCUUAAUAUUGGGAUGUAAAUGUUAUUAGAUUGUAAUUUAGGGUUCAAGUUUCUUUAAAUAAUUUAAAUAUAUUGCGUAGUUGUGUUAUGACAUUUUUUGUUUAUUUUUUUGUGUGAUAUAUGAGGCGGGUCAUAUUUCAAAUGCACAUUUAUGUGUAUAAUACUUGAUUGAAAAAACUCCUGAUUAAACGAGGAUAAUAAUUAAAUGGAAUUCAAAUCGUCUCCCAGUACGAUCAUCUGCUGGUUUGUUAGCAAAGUAUUUGGAUAGGUUUGUUAGGUUGUUUCAAGACUUUCUCGUAAUGUUCGAUUUUGACAAGUGAUUUAAAAAAUAUUUAGUUGUUUAUUAAUGAUACUUUUAUCUUUGUAUCAUAAAACUUUGUUUUAUAAUCACUUGGAAUUUCCUUCCAAUUAUCGAACAUUAUGGAAAAGUCUUGAAACAAUCUAACAACUCUACCUAAAUACCUUGCUAACAAACGAGCAGAUGAUUACUGGGAGACGAUUUGAAUUCUAUCUAAUUAUUAUUAUGACCCACACAUAAACGUGUGUUUGAAAUAUGACCCUCCUCUUCUAUCUCAUAAAAAAAAAAUAAACAAUUUUUUUUUUAUAACUCAACUAUGUAAUACAUUUAAAUUAUUUAAAGAAACUUUAAUCCUAAAUUACUUAGUAACAACAUUUACAUCCCAAUAUUGAGAAGUAGCUGCAUGAACAAUUUCGGUUUCAUCUCCUACCACAACAUCUUCAGAAUGAAGGGAUGAAAUAGCAUGAUAAGAAAAUGUUUCUGAAGAAUGAGGAUUCUGUAGGGUUAUUGUUAUUGGUGUAGUAACAUGGGUAGUUGAUGUAGUUUGGAUUGGCGGAAAGGUUAUUGUAGUUUGGAUUGACGUAGAGAUUAUUGAUGAUGUAAAAUAGGUAGAUAUUGGAGUUAUCGCUGAAGGCAGGCGCUUCGUGGAUAUUUCAAGAUCUCCAGUUUGUACAAAUCUCAGAUGACUCUUCACAGACUAAAUAAGAUGCAUCGAUGAAUUUUAAUCAACAAUCAAAACAAAUAAUUUCUAUAGAGUAAUAUUGAGAGUUUAUUACUAAUUGAUGAUGAUUUUGAAGAAAACUAAGAUGAUUUGUAAGCGUAUUGUUUUGUGGAGAAUGUCCUCAUAUGAUUAAGUCAUUUUUCACAUCAAGCUUAAAUUGUAAGUAUAGGUGAUAUUGUGAUAAACAAGUCAGGACAUUAAAAGUUAAGUGAGCAAUCAACACAAUUAAUUUCUAUAGAGUAAUAUUGAGAAUUAUUUACUAACCGAUGAUAUUUUUGAUAACCUUUUUCAGACAUACACUUUGAGGAUUAUGAUCCUUAAUUAGUGUUUCUCCCCUAGUUUCAGACACUAUAUUAUCCGACAAUUCAAGAUUAAGCAUUCUAGGUUCCAUUAUCUUUGCAUUCGGAUGAUUUGUUGUCUCAAUAUCAUCCAGUGUAGGUAAAGUUUACCAAAAAUUAUUUUCUUUAUUAGUACAAUGAUUCUCCCCUUGAAAAUAAUUUUUAAUGAAAGAAAGGUUGAUUUUUGACAAAGUUAGACAUCCAUACUUUUAAAAAAAUUUCUUUGUUUAUUGGGUUAAAACAUUUGUAACCUUUAUAAUUUGAAGCAUAGCCAAGAAAAACACAUUUUUCACUUUUAGGAUCCAAUUUGGAACAAAAAAUACUUGGGAUGUAGGCACAACAGAGACAACAACAAAAAAUUGAAGACACGACUAACAUCCAUCAUCUUCUUGUAGUGCUUGCAGUCCUCGGGGGAAUUCCACUCAUAUAUAUUGAAUAUAUUUAGAUCUUGCCAAAUACGCUCGAGACAAUUGAAGCAUUUGGUGACAAAAUCUUCAGCUAGUCGAAUUUCUCCAAGCUGGAGAGUUAAUUCAUAAAUUUGGAAUUUAUUGUCUAAAUCAGAGUACACCUGAGAGACUUUCCCAAAGAUCUUUUGCAGUAGCAUAAGAGAGAUAGGUUGCACCUAUCCCUUCAGUCAUGAAAUUGACUAACCAUGUCAUGACCAUGAAAUUUUGAGCAUCCCAAGUGUCAUAGUUUGGCCUUUCUUGUCUGAUUGUUUCUUGUCUCCAUUGAUGUAUCCAAUUUUUUUUCUCCCCUUAGAUACAAACGAACAGACUGUGACUAGCGAAAAUAAUUAGGACCUUUCAGCCGAAUUGUUGUGAUCUGAACAGAUGGUGGUUUUCAUGCUAUGUCCUAAAUGGUUGAGGUAUUUCAUACUUAGGUGAAGAAUGUUUGGGUGAAUGCUGGGGUAUUUCAUACUUAGCUCAAAAGACAUAAAUCUAACAAACAAGUCUAAUCAUCUAAGAUAUUAUAUAUUCACAUAUCAUGAUAGUCAUAUAAAAGGCAACUUCAGCACGGACUUUGUUCAAAAUAAGUAGCUCAAAAAACAUAAAUCUAACAAACAAGUCUAAUCAUCUAAGAUAUUAAUAUAUAUUCACGUAUCAUGAUAGUCAUAUAAAAGGAAACUUCAGCUCGUAAGAUCUUAAGAUCUUAAGACCCAACACUCGAUCUUGAUCACAAAGUGCACGAAAAAAGUUUUUUCUCAAAUCGUAGCGCUAAAAGGCAACUUCAACAUGUAAGAUCGUAAGAUUUUAAGACCCAACACUCGAACUUGAGUACACUGAGGGACAUACUAAUAAACACUAAUCUAGACUGAGAAUCAAGGUAAUUAUUCUCCCUAUAAAUGCUAAUUCUAAAUAUGGUAAAGGUAGAAGGAGACAUCUGUCAUGAGCUGUACAAAACAUAAUCUGUUGAUUAUGUACUAAUCUCUCUAAUAACUACCAAUAGUGUUACAUAAGAUGUAUAUAAUAACUACCAAUAGUGUUACAUAAGAUGUAUAUAUAAACAAUAGGAAGGAGACAGACUAAGCCUCCUAACAUUAAUUCUUUUUUUUAAUCACUCCUAUAAUUCCUAUGUAUAUAAAAGGAAAGAAUUAUGUCAUAAAGGAUGCGGAUCAAUAAAGGAUGCGGAUCAGUAGAUGAUUUGGAAUUAACUUCAUAUCUAUAUUCAACAUUUGUCACAUAUAAGAGUGAGAGAUAUGUUCUCUUAUAUAUUUCUUUUUUAAUAAGACCUCAGAUAGAAUUUUUUUUUUAAAUUGUAAAGUUUUACUUGGAGAAAAUUUAACCUAGAGUAUUGAUUAUGGAUGUAAGAGUCAAGAGGAGAAUAAAGAGAAUAAAUUAAAUGGGAGUUCCACGAGUCAAGUGGUGAUAAUUGAAGAGUGAAAAACAAAGGAGUUUUAACACAAGAUCUUGGAGGGGGAUUUCGACAACCACAUGAAAGUGUAAAUGAUAUGUGGAGUAAAAUGACAUAAGUGAUUAGGAAAGUAGCGAUAUAAAUGUUGGUAUAAUUUAGAGAUUUUGUACCUAUGGGUAAAGAAUCGUGGUGGUGGAACAAAAAUUUUCCAAAGUAAAGUCAUAGUAAAAAAAAACGAAUAUUUUAAAAGAAUGGGCUAUGUGUAAAUAUCCCUAAAUUUGGGAAAAGUAUAAGAAAGAUAGGAGGGAGACAAAAAAGGCGAUGAGUGAAGAAAGAACUCAAGCUUUUGACGGAUAACAUCAAUCUUUAGGGACCAAGGAGGGAGAAAAAUCUAUAUAUAAGUUUAUUAAGGAAAGAGAAAGAAAGACGAGAUUUGAAUUAAGUGAAGUGUGUUAAAGAUGAAAAAGGAAAAAUUUUGGUUCAGGAAAAUGAUAUAAAGGAUAGGUGAGCAAAGUAUUUCAAUAAUUUAUUUAAGGAAGGAUAUAAUAUCUCACCAGACUCUAACAGACUUAACAUUAAAGAAGAGGAUUGAAACUAUAACUACUUUCGUCGGAUUCAAAAACGAGGUAAAAGAAAACAUUGAAAAGGAUGAGUAAUAGUAAGGCGGUUGGACCAGACAAGCUACCUAUUGGAGUGUGAAAAUUUAUUGGAGAUAGAAGCAUUGAAUGGCUCAUCGAAUUUUAACGAAAUUAUGAGGUCAAAGCAAAUUUCGGAUGAAUGGAGAAGCACUUUAGUUUCAAUCUAUAAGAACAAGGGGGGUAUCCAAAAUUGUGCAAAUUAUAAGGGCAUUAAACUUAUGAGCUUUACCAUGAAGUUAUGGGAAAGAGCGAUUGAACAAACACUAAGAAAAGAGACUCAAGUUAUUGAUAAUCAAUUUGGUUUUGUGCCUAGGAGGUUAACCAAGACUUCCACUUAAUUUUCAUUGACUUAGAGAAGGCGUAUGAUAGAGUGCCUACAGAGAUUUUGUGGAAAACCCUAGAGGAGAAAGAGGUUAAGAUUGCUUGUAUUCGAGUUAUCUAAGAUAUGUAUGAUGAGGUAUCGAUUAGUGUGCAAACAUGAAGUGAGGGACAGACGAUUUUCCCAUAACAAUAGUUUUGCACCAAGGUUCAACCCUAAGCCUUUACAUUUUUAUUUAAUUUUGGAUGUGCUCAUAAAACACAUCCAAAAGCUAGCAUCGAGAUGUAUGUUUUUUGUAGAUGAUAUAGUCUUACUUGAAGAGGUGGAUGAGGAUUUAAAUGAGAGGUUGGAGACUUGGAGACAAGUCUUAGAACAUAUGGUUGUCGCUCAAGCACAAGUAAAACGGAGGACAUGAAAUGUAAGUUUAGCAAAAAAGAGAAGCGUUUCUAACCAAGAGGUGAAAGUUGAAGACCAUAUUAUACCAAUUCACGCAGUUUAAAUAUCUUGGGUCUAAAAUAAAAAACAAUGGAGAAAUAGAAGAUGUAAACCAUCAAAUUCAAGCUGAGUGGUUGAAAUGGAAGAGGGUCUUAAAGGUUUUAUAUUACACAAAAGUACCGCUCAAAACUUAAGGAAUUUUUUUAUCAAGCAACGGUAAGACCUGCGAUGUUGAAUGAGACAAAAUGUUGGGGGGUAAGAACCAACAUGAGAAUAAAGUAAGUGUAACAUAGAUAAUGAUGGUGUGAUGGAUUUGUACUAGACAAGAUAUGAUUGUUAAUGACAAUAUUAGAGGGAGUGUUGGAAAAUAGGCUUAAGUGGUUUGAGCAUGUAGAUAGGAUAUCUGUAGGUUUUGUUGUAAGGGGAGUAGAUCAGAUGAAAAAGAGUAAAACAAAUAGAGGUAGAGGAAGACUUAGAAAAACAAUAAGAAAAACUAUUAAGAAAGAUCUCGAGAUUAAUAAAUUGGAUAGAAACAUGUUCUUUGAUAGAAUAUUAUGGCGUAAUUUGUUUCAUGUAGGCAACCCCACUUAAUAGGAUAAAGCUUACUUAAUAGGAUAAGACUUGGUUAUUGUUGUUCUAAAUAGUUUUUUCUCCCGCUCCUUGUUAUAAUUAUCAAAUAUCACUUUCAAUUGUCGUAUGUUCUUAAAUUUACUUUUUAGGAUCUAGAAAUUUAACUGUUCUCAUCUUUACAUUUCAAUCCAUUUUAACUUAUUUUUUUUUUAGACUCCUCGUUAGUGGGAUGACUUAGCUUGGGAAAAUUAGAAAGAAAACAUAUUAUAUAAGGGUAAAAGGACUAUAUCAUUAUUGCCCAUGUCAAGUGUAGUGUGGCCCUUACUCCAAUUAUGAGGUUGCUUACAUGAGAGAUAGAGUUUAUCAAGACAGAGUGUUAAACACUAAGUGGGAGAGAGAAUCCAAAUGAAGCAUUAUAAUGCAUGAUAAGUGUUCAUCUGUCACAGAAGAGUGGGGGAAAAAGAAAGUUUUUAUAAAAUUUAUUUUUGAAUUGUUGAGUGGUAUUCUUCUUGACAGCCUUUUGGUCGUGCACAUGUGGUUUUGAGCAGAUGGCAUUGGUUAGGAUGGUUCAUGUUUGUUAAAGCCUGAGGCUGUGUAUUAGGUUCUUAGUUCUCAUGGAGCGCAUUGAACUUAUGCUAUUUGAGGGGAUCAAAUAUUUCUAAUCGGGAUCCAAUUGAUAACGAAGAUAUGAAUGUUUUAGGACAUUGCAGUCCUGAUUCUCACAAGUAAUUUGUAAACACCUAUAUGACCAACAUCCAGCUAAUACUACUUGGUCUCAAUUCUUUCCUCAUUCAUUAGCUAAAAUAGCUCCCUAGCUUCAUUGUUGUUUCUUAUUUAUUCCUUGGAAUUUGACUUUUUUCUUUCACUAUACUCUCCCCUAUAUGCUUGUAAAUAAUAAAUUUAUACAUGUGACAUAUCCACGGUAAAGAAGCUCUGUUUUUAA